rnacentral:misc_RNA from 1 species
GGAUAUUCGACUAUGCAACAAACCUCUCGUGGGCAAGGUAUCCAAAGCAGCGUGCCAUAUGAAAUUGAUGAUCUGUUGUGGUUCAGCUAGCUUCCAAAUCAAUUUCCAGAGUCGAGAAGUAUCCAUUGAAGAGGUGGAAGCUGACAACUGAUUGGUCUGUUUCAGUUCUAAUGCUAGCUGAUAUCUACUGUGCACAGUAUAACAGCCUUUUGAUUCAUAAUGCCAAACCAUUAUAUCCCUCUGUCUAAGUGAACCCAACGGGAUUAG